AUUGAACGCUGGCGGCAGGCCUAACACAUGCAAGUCGAACGAGUGGCGGACGGGUGAGUAAUGUCUGGGAAACUGCCUGAUGGAGGGGGAUAACUACUGGAAACGGUAGCUAAUACCGCAUACCAUCGGAUGUGCCCAGAUGGGAUUAGCUAGUAGGUGGGGUAACGGCUCACCUAGGCGACGAGCCCUAGCUGGUCUGAGAGGAUGACCAGCCAACCUGGAACUGAGACACGGUCCAGACUCCUACGGGAGGCAGCAGUGGGGAAUAGUGCACAAUGGGCGCAAGCCUGAUGCAGCCAUGCCGCGUGUAUGAAGAAGGCCUUCGGGUUGUAAAGUACUUUCAGCGGGGAGGCGUUACUCGCAGAAGAAGCACCGGCUAACUCCGUGCCAGCAGCCGCGGUAAUUC
rnacentral:rRNA from 1 species